UACGGAGGGUGCAAGCGUUGUUCGGAAUCAUUGGGCGUAAAGCGCGUGUAGGCGGCUUGGCAAGUCAGUCGUGAAAGCCCGGGGCCCAACCCCGGAACUGCAUCUGAAACUGCCUAGCUAGAGUCCCGGAGAGGAAGGCAGAAUUCCCGGUGUAGGGGUGAAAUCCGUAGAUAUCGGGAGGAAUACCAGCGGCGAAGGCGGCCUUCUGGACGGUGACUGACGCUGAGACGCGAAAGCGUGGGGAGCAAACAGG
rnacentral:rRNA from 1 species